CUGUUGCUAAGGGAUGAGUGCCUUUCAUGAAAUCCAUUCACAUUUUCUCUCCUGCCAACAUCUGCUGAGUGGACCAGAAAUAUCACCUGUCCACCGUGAAGUCCUGCUCCCCACUCAAGGACACAGAACAAUUCUGGGCAUCUGAUGAGCUUUCCUUUAGGCAGAUUACAAUGAAAUUGCCAGAGCCCACUCAUGCAUUAAAUAGGGAUUGAGACUUAACUUCCAUAAUUAGACUGAAAUUUCUCCACUUCAGACUUCAAUCAGCAGCUGACGUCUUGCAGCCAUUCUCUCUCAACAGGCGGGCUCUGCAGCUACCAACAUUCACUGCAUGUUUGCUGGCCUCUCAGCCUCCACUUUGAUCCCGACUCAAACGGGAUCAAAGCUGUGUGUCCACCAUGUUACAGAGAGCUUCCUGCUAUUGCCACAUAACAGUUCUAUUUAAACCCUGAUUGUUCCUGAUACAGGCACUGAUUUUUGACAGAUGAUCAACAGAUCUUUACAUUCUGAUAUUUUAUGCUCAUAUUUUGGAUUUGAUCCAAGGUAACAUCCCGGAAAAAAGCCAGGGCCUAGCAAUAACUGCUGACUAUUAACCAUAAAAUUUAGCAAAUUGAAAUUCUGAAAAUAAAUUUCUUCAAUGGAACCGUAA